CCCCUAGAUGUUCUGGGCCGCACGCGCGCUACACUGAACAGUUCAACAAGUCUUAACCUUGGCCGAUAGGUCUGGGUAAUCUUUGAACGCUGUUCGUGAUUGGGAUAGACCUUUGCAAUUAUGGGUCUUCAACGAGGAAUUCCUAGUAAACGCAAGUCAUCAGCUUGCAUUGAUUACGUCCCUGCCCUUUGUACACACCGCCCGUCGCACCUACCGAUUGAAUGGUCCGGUGAAAUCUCGGGACGGCGGCUUGGUCGCUUGCGUCCGACUGCUGAAACUUGAUUAAACCAUAUCAUUUAGAGGAAGGUGAAGUCGUAACA
rnacentral:rRNA from 1 species